CCAAAGAUGGAGCAGUUAGGUCAAGCCUCUCAUUAGCAACCCAACAAAGAUAUGUAUAUGGAUAUUGUGAAAAACCUGACUUGAAUUUAGAGAGAGUGAAGCAGACAAAAAGAUAGCACAGACUAUUCAGCAUUUAGAUGCGACAGACCUGUACCUGUCCGACAAAGUGCCUGCUAUUUUGGAAACUGCGUCAUGUUGCUUUAAACUGCCAGGUUAU